rnacentral:rRNA from 1 species
ACAUGCCUACAACAUAGAGAUAAUGCACUAGAUUCCAUUAGAACUCCGCAAUUAAGAAUGCUCAAGCUAUAGUAGUACUAGGAUGGGUGACAGCCUUGGAAGUCCUAGUGUUUUACAUGCC